GUGGAGGGUGGACAAGCAUAGAGGACAUAAAAAAGCACCAUCCAGUUUUGUUGUUGCACUCAAUGAAUCUAUAAUAUGAUAACAAUGCUCCCUAAGUCGACCUAUGUUUCCUGUGGGCUGAUUCCAUAGAAGCCAAUUUUUCAUGCUUCCUCAUGGGCAACAAAAAAGUGGAUAACUAAUGCGAUACACUACCGCUCUAUUUGGAAGGUGGUAGAGCAAUGUAAGGGUUUUUAAAGAAAGGUUUUUUAAAAAUAAGGUUUCUCAUGGUUUUUGAACCAUUAUAAUUUUUGGUUGUUUGAGAGGAAGUGAAGGUUUUGAAGAGAAAAACUUUUCAACCCACCAAUUGGAAGAUGGAGGUUUUUGGAGGUUUUCAAAAACCUCCAAGAACCUUACUUUAAAAAAUCAUGGUUUCUCCCAAAUACAAAUCUACGGCUUCAAAACUUUAUAAAAUCUCCAAUUACUU
rnacentral:misc_RNA from 1 species